rnacentral:rRNA from 1 species
AUUGAACGCUGGCGGCAGGCCUAACACAUGCAAGUCGAACGAGGGGCGGACGGGUGAGUAAUGUCGGGGAAACUGCCUGAUGGAGGGGGAACACUACUGGAAACGGUAGAUAAUACCGCAAACCAUCGGAUGUGCACAGAUGGGAUUAGCUAGUAGGUGGGGUAAAGGCUCACCUAGGCGACGAUCCCUAGCUGGUCUGAGAGGAUGAACAGCCACACUGGAACUGAGACACGGUCCAGACUCCUACGGGAGGCAGCAGUGGGGAAUAUUGCACAAUGGGCGCAAGCCUGAUGCAGCCAUGCCGCGUGUAUGAAGAAGGCCUUCGGGUUGUAAAGUACUUUCAGCGGGGAGGCGUUACCCGCAGAAGAAGCACCGGCUAACUCCGUGCCAGCAGCCGCGGUAAUUC